GUGUAUUACAAAUGAAACAUACCGAAUUUUAAGUAGAAAAGUGAAAAUAAAUAAAAAUAUUAUGAGAUACUAUUUUAUCGGAUUUAGAGAAGCGAAAUAUAGGUUGGGAGUGACCUGUGCUGAAAUCAGAGCGAAAACAGAAGAUUUAGCAUUUUCUGUGAGAAACGGGGCAGAUAAAUUAGCAGAAAAUGCACAGUGUCAGAAAAUUAUGAAAAUUGGCGGAGAUGUCACAAAUAUUUUUAUG
rnacentral:lncRNA from 1 species